GCCGGCUAGUGUAUUGUUAGGUUUCGUGGCACACAUUUCAGACGUUUUUACAUAGUUUGUGUCUUAUUGGCGGAAUCUGAGAGAAUCAGAAGUCCGUUUUUGAUGUAGACAUUCCAUUAAGAGGCAAACAAAAUGUCGGCAUUAUUUAAUUUCCAGAGUUUAUUAACAGUUAUAAUACUUCUAAUUUGUACAUGUACCUAUAUUAGAGCACUAGCUCCAAGAAUGUUGGAUAAAAACAAAGAAGGAUUACUGGGAAUAUUUUGGAAGUGUGCCAGGAUAGGAGAACGGAAAAGUGAAUAUGUAGCUGUAUGUUGUAUUGCUAUGGCAGUCAGCAUUUUAUUCUGGCAGUGAUGGUUUUUUUUUUUUUACGGAAAGACUCGAGUCCACAUGUUAUAAUAAGAAAUUGUAUUCUGUUCGUAUCAACUAAAGAGGGCGCUGUUCAUUGAGUAUUCAGACUAUAGAGGGCAACAAUCGUCUCUGUUCAUGGAAUGUUAAAUGCACUAUGACAGAAUCUCUUAUAUACUGGUUGAAGACGAGAUGCAUGGGAAGUAUGGGACUAUCAUAAUAAAUAACUAUAUCACUGAGUUUUCUUUUUUUAAAUUAUCUUGUACUUUCAAUACUGAAUGCAAUUUUCUUAUGUACCGGUAAGCUGUAUAGUAUACUAGCUAUUAAUCAUAGAUCUGUAUUGUUAACAUAAAAUGACCAAAUUUCUUGUCAUCUGAUCACUUUAAUGUAUGCCAAUGUUGGUGAUAGAAUUCACCUUUUUGCAACCAUUCAUUGCUUUUAAUGUUCUGACAUUUCUGUGUUUUUUUUUGUACAAGCACAUUCCCUCAACAACUGAGAGACUGUGGUUCAAACAAUCAAUAUGUACAGAACCACAUAUUUUACCAUUCUAUCAGUUCUACCAGAAAUAUCAAAGCUGCAUGACACAUAAGAUGGAUGAAAUGUGAAUGGCGUCUAUUUCUGACCAGCCAUUCAAAUAGUUUGUUUUAGAUAAAGAAAGGGUAGAGUACAGGGUGCAGUGAUUUGAGGGUUGAUACAAAAACAUUUACCGUUAAGACAUUGUGAGUUAACAGAAAUAUCAAAUGAAAGAUGCAAAUUACUGUAAUAUUCAGAAAGUUUUAUUUCAUAUUUCAAUAAAUUAAAUAUAAGAUUUACUGGAGCUAUAGAUACAAUCCAGUACUUGUAAA